GGUUCGGGAUAACGUCUGGAAACGGACGCUAACACCGGAUGUGCCCUUCGGGGGAAAGUUUACGCCAUGAGAGGGGCCCGCGUCCGAUUAGGUAGUUGGUGGGGUAACGGCCCACCAAGCCGACGAUCGGUAGCUGGUCUGAGAGGAUGAUCAGCCACACUGGGACUGAGACACGGCCCAGACUCCUACGGGAGGCAGCAGUGGGGAAUAUUGGACAAUGGGGGCAACCCUGAUCCAGCAAUGCCGCGUGAGUGAUGAAGGCCUUAGGGUUGUAAAGCUCUUUCGCACGCGACGAUGAUGACGGUAGCGUGAGAAGAAGCCCCGGCUAACUUCGUGCCAGCAGCCGCGGUAAUACGAAGGGGGCGAGCGUUGUUCGGAAUUACUGGGCGUAAAGGGCGCGUAGGCGGCCUGUUUAGUCAGAAGUGAAAGCCCCGGGCUUAACCUGGGAACGGCUUUUGAUACUG
rnacentral:rRNA from 1 species